rnacentral:rRNA from 1 species
ACACUGAACAUUGAGCCUUGAUGUGUAGGAUAGGUGGGAGGCUUAGAAGUGUGGACGCCAGUCUGCAUGGAGCCGACCUUGAAAUACCACCCUUUAAUGUUUGAUGUUCUAACGUUGACCCGUAAUCCGGGUUGCGGACAGUGUCUGGUGGGUAGUUUGACUGGGGCGGUCUCCUCCUAAAGAGUAACGGAGGAGCACGAAGGUUGGCUAAUCCUGGUCGGACAUCAGGAGGUUAGUGCAAUGGCAUAAGCCAGCUUGACUGCGAGCGUGACGGCGCGAGCAGGUGCGAAAGCAGGUCAUAGUGAUCCGGUGGUUCUGAAUGGAAGGGCCAUCGCUCAACGGAUAAAAGGUACUCCGGGGAUAACAGGCUGAUACCGCCCAAGAGUUCAUAUCGACGGCGGUGUUUGGCACCUCGAUGUCGGCUCAUCACAUCCUGGGGCUGAAGUAGGUCCCAAGGGUAUGGCUGUUCGCCAUUUAAAGUGGUACGCGAGCUGGGUUUAGAACGUCGUGAGACAGUUCGGUCCCUAUCUGCCGUGGGCGCUGGAGAACUGAGGGGGGCUGCUCCUAGUACGAGAGGACCGGAGUGGACGCAUCACUGGUGUUCGGGUUGUCAUGCCAAUGGCACUGCCCGGUAGCUAAAUGCGGAAGAGAUAAGUGCUGAAAGCAUCUAAGCACGAAACUUGCCCCGAGAUGAGUUCUCCCUGACCCUUUAAGGGUCCUGAAGGAACGUUGAAGA